CAGAGUUGCAAGACUCCCUAAACCAUUGUGAACCUACCUUCUACCGUUGCUUCGGCGGGCGGGCCCAGCGCCCCCCGGCCCCCCGCGGGCGCCCGCCGGAGGAUACCCAAACUCUUUGACAUUAGUGGCCUCUCUGAGUAUUCUUUACUGAAUAAGUCA
rnacentral:misc_RNA from 1 species